GAGUUUGAACCUGGCUCAGGAUGAACGCUGGCGGCGUGCUUAACACAUGCAAGUCGAACGGACCUGUACUGAAACCUAGUGAUUUACAGGUUAGUGGCGGACGGGUGAGUAACGCGUGGAAAACCUGCCGUAUACUGGGGGAUAACACUUAGAAAUAGGUGCUAAUACCGCAUAAGCGCACAGACCCGCAUGGGACAGUGUGGAAAACAAAAAGCUAAAGCUUUUUGUGGUAUACGAUGGUUCCGCGUCUGAUUAGCUUGUUGGCGGGGUAACGGCCCACCAAGGCGACGAUCAGUAGCCGGCCUGAGAGGGUGAACGGCCACAUUGGGACUGAGACACGGCCCAGACUCCUACGGGAGGCAGCAGUGGGGAAUAUUGCACAAUGGGGGAAACCCUGAUGCAGCGACGCCGCGUGAGUGAAGAAGUAUCUCGGUACGUAAAGCUCUAUCAGCAGGGAAGAAAAAAAGCCUUUGGCUUUGGACGG
rnacentral:rRNA from 1 species